rnacentral:rRNA from 1 species
GAUGAACGCUGGCGGCGUGCCUAAUACAUGCAAGUCGAGCGAACAGAUGAGGCGCUUGCUCCUCUGACGUUAGCGGCGGACGGGUGAGUAACACGUGGAUAACCUACCUAUAAGACUGGGAUAACUUCGGGAAACCGGAGCUAAUACCGGAUAAUAUAUUGAACCGCAUGGUUCAAUAGUGAAUGACGGUUUUGCUGUCACUUAUAGAUGGAUCCGCGCCGCAUUAGCUAGUUGGUACGGUAACGGCUUACCAAGGCAACGAUGCGUAGCCGACCUGAUAGGGUGAUAGACCACAUGGGAACUGGGACACGCACAUGACUCCUGCGGUAGGCAGCAGUAGGGAAUCUGCCGCAGUAGUCGAAAGCCUGGCGGAGCAGCGCCGCGUGAGUGAUGAAAGUCUUCGGAUCGUAAAACUCUGUUAUGAGGGAAAAACAAAUGUGUAAGUAACUAUGCACGUCUUGACGGUACCUAAUCAGAAAGCCACGGCUAACUACGUG